CAUACUCUGUGAUCCAAAGCCAGUCCCAAGGCAGCUCAGAUUCAACAGGAAGGUGUUGAAUUAUCCGUCUAGACAUAGUUACAUGAGCAUACAAAACCAGAGGAAUGGUUGGAGGCCCUCUCUGGAGACUAUCAGCCAGAGAGGGCAUAACACAGAAAGGAAGUUUGUUCUGAAAUGUGAGCGAUAAGGAAGACUUCACCAGAGAGAAUAAAAGAAAGAAGACUGAGAUCGAAGUUAACAAUAAAGAAAUGAAACAGCAUACAGCAUUUAUAUAGAAGUUUUGUGAGAUGUAUGCUGAAGUGUGCCUAAAGUCUGAGAUUUGCUUCAAAAGCCGUCUGCAAAGCAGUAAAGGCAAGAUGAUCAAUGGACUGGCAAAAAGAAAAAUAACAUGUGAAUUCAAGAGCGCU